UAGUCAUAUGCUUGUCUUAAAGACUAAGCCAUGCAUGUCUAAGUAUAAGUAUUAUACAGCGAAACUGCGAAUGGCUCAUUAAAACAGUUAUAGUUUAUUCGAUUAUUUACUCCUACAUGGAUAACCGUAGUAAUUCUAGAGCUAAUACAUGCUGUAAAACCUGACUUUUGUGGAAGGGUUGUAUUUAUUAGAUAUAAAACCAAUACUCGCAAGAGGAUUGUGAUGAUUCAUAAUAACUGAGCGGACCGCGGCCUUGCCGCGGCGAAUCGUUCAAGUUUCUGCCCUAUCAGCUUUCGAUGGUAGUGUAUUGGACUACCGUGGCGAUCACGGGUAACGGAGAAUUAGGGUUCGAUUCCGGAGAGAAAGCCUGAGAGACGGCUAUCACUUCUAAGGAAGGCAGCAGGCGCGUAAAUUGCCCAAUCUUGAUUCGAGGAGGCAGUGACAAGAAAUACCGAUAUUGGUCCUUUAAGGAACAAUGAUUGGAAUGAGAACAACGUAAAGACAUUAACGAGUAACAAUU
rnacentral:rRNA from 1 species